CCCUUAGAUGUUCUGGGCGGCCCGCGCACUACAAUGGCGCUUUCAGCGAGUUCCUAUGUUGAAUUUUCCUGGGUAUUCUUGGAAGCGGCGUCUUGACUUGGGAUAGAUCCUUGUAAUUGUUGGUUUUGAACGAGGAAUUCCUUGUAAUCGCGGUUGAUCAGCUCGCGUUGAAUACGUCCCUGCCCUUUGUACACACCGCCCGUCGCUCCUACCGAUUGAGUGGUCCGGUGAGGCUUUGGGAUCUGAGCGGAAAGAGCGUUUCGCUGUUUCUGCUCGGAAAACUCAGUCGAACCUUAUCAUUUAGAGGAAGGAGAAGUCGUAACA
rnacentral:rRNA from 1 species